UACAGAGGGUGCAAGCGUUGUUCGGAAUUAUUGGGCGUAAAGGGCGCGUAGGCGGCCAUGCGUGUCUUCCGUGAAAUCCCUCGGCUUAACUGAGGACGUGCGGAAGAAACUGCAAGGCUCGAGUCCGGGAGAGGGGGGUGGAAUUCCCAGUGUAGCGGUGAAAUGCGUAGAUAUUAGCAGGAACACCGGUGGCGAAGGCGGCUAUCUGGACGACAACUGACGCUGAGGCGCGAAAGCGCGGGGAUCAAACAGG
rnacentral:rRNA from 1 species